AGAUUUCGGCGGCGGAACGACAGGCUUUUUCGGGAUUUCCCAGCGCCGGCGCUCCCACUUUUCGGACUGUCCGACCCACAGGAGCCCGGCCUCGGCCGCGGAAGUGUCAAUCAGAUAACCCUGCAAUCAAACAGCCGCCUUUGAUAUUUUUGAGACAAAUCCCACACCAGCGAGAGCAUAAAAGGGUUUAACUUACAUUUAGACGCUGGCUUUGUUAUCAUAGAUAUCAAGUGUAGGAGGAGAUCCUACGAGGAUGUGUAAAGCAAAUGCCAGCCAUUGGAUCGCCCAGAUCAGUUACUUCUCUCGCCAAGGUCUCC
rnacentral:lncRNA from 1 species